GUGAAUCAUCAAAUUUUUGAACGCAAAUUGCACUCUCUUCGGAGAGUAUGCCUGUUUGAGGGUCAGCCUAAAAAAAUUCAACUUAUUCCUUUUUCCGCGUUACCAUUCUUCGAAAAUUGGUUCACUUUAAACCUUUGGUUUUUAACCGGCUUAAAAUUUUUUUUCGUUUUCUACAACGUUUCCUAAAUUUUACUUACCCUUUUAAGUUAUCG
rnacentral:misc_RNA from 1 species